GGAGCCAUUUGGGAUUUCUGCCUGGAAGGUGGAUUUAGAGUCAGAAUUCAGAAAGCCCUGAGGCUAGAACAGAGUGUGGACUUUCCCCAGGGGUCAGCCGUGAGAGCUGAGUCAGGUGAGGAUCAUUGUCGAAACUGCGGCAGCACAAGCCACACCUGACUUGGAGGACUUUCUGCAGGUAGAAGAGGUGCGGAAGAUGAAGGUGGGCAACCCGCUGGACAGGGACACCGACCACGGGCCGCAGAAUCACCAUGCCCACCUUGUGAAGCUGAUGGAGUACUGCCAGUGUGGCGUGAAGGAAGGGGCCACACUGGUCUGCGGCGGGAAUCAAGUCCCUCGGCCAGGGUUCUUCUUUGAGCCAACUGUUUUCACAGACGUGGAAGACCACAUGUUCAUAGCCAAGGAGGAGUCCUUCGGGCCUGUCAUGAUCAUCUCUCGGUUUGCUGAUGGGGACGUGGAUGCCGUGCUGUCUCGGGCCAAUGCCACGGAAUUUGGCCUGGCUUCUGGUGUCUUCA
rnacentral:sRNA from 1 species